GUGGGGAAUAUUGCGCAAUGGGCGAAAGCCUGACGCAGCCACGCCGCGUGAGUGAUGAAGGCCUUCGGGUUGUAAAGCUCUGUCGGGAGGGACGAAGGGGUUGUUCAGAAAUGGGCAACCCUUGACGGUACCUCGCAAGAAAGCACCGGCUAACUCUGUGCCAGCAGCCGCGGUAAUACAGAGGGUGCAAGCGUUGCUCGGAUUUACUGGGCGUAAAGCGUACGCAGACGGUGAGAAAGGUCGAAUGUGAAAGCCCCGGGCUCAACCCGGGAACUGCAUCCGAAACCAUCUCGCUAGAGUAUGAGAGAGGGAAGCAGAAUUCCUGGUGUAGAGGUGAAAUUCGUAGAUAUCAGGAGGAAUACCUGCGGCGAAGGCGGCUUCCUGGCUCAUUACUGACGUUCAGGUACGAAAGCGUGGGUAGCAAACAGG
rnacentral:rRNA from 1 species